UGAGUAACACGGAUGGUCGCACUUAACAAGUGAGGAAAGUCCGGGCUUCAUAGGGCAGGGUGCCGGAUAACGUCCGGUGGAGGCGACUCCAAGGCUAGUGCAACAGAAAUAUACCGCCGGUGCUAGCAUCGGUAAGGAUGGAAAGGUGGCUUAAGAGACCACCGCCCUUCUGGUAACAGAAGGGGCAGAUGUAAACCCCACUCGAAGCAAGACCUAACAGAAGCGAUACGGUAGCCCGCCGUGCUUCGGGUUGGUCGCGGAGUAAUGGCGAAAGCUUUUGCUCGAGCUUUAUGGUAACAUAAAGUCUAGAUAGAUGACCAUUCAAGACAUAACCCGGCUUAUAGUGUUGCUCACACC
rnacentral:RNase_P_RNA from 1 species